rnacentral:siRNA from 1 species
UAACGCUUAACACUCUGGUCA